UACGUAGGCAGCGAGCGUUGUUCGGAGUUACUGGGCGUAAAGGGUGUGUAGGCGGUCCUCUAAGUUUGGUGUGAAAUCUCCCGGCUCAACCGGGAGGGUGCGCCGAAAACUGGGGGGCUAGAGUGCGGGAUGGGUAAGUGGAAUUCCUGGUGUAGCGGUGAAAUGCGUAGAUAUCAGGAGGAACACCUGUGGUGUAGACGGCUUACUGGACCGCAACUGACGCUGAGGCGCGAAAGCUAGGGGAGCAAACAGG
rnacentral:rRNA from 1 species